AUUGAACGCUGGCGGCAUGCUUUACACAUGCAAGUCGAACGGUAACAGGCCGCAAGGUGCUGACGAGUGGCGAACGGGUGAGUAAUGCAUCGGAACGUGCCUAGGCGUGGGGGAUAACGCAGCGAAAGCUGUGCUAAUACCGCAUACGAUCUAUGGAUGAAAGCGGGGGACCGGAAGGCCUCGCGCGAUUGGAGCGGCCGAUGUCAGAUUAGGGAGUUGGUGGGGUAAAGGCCCACCAAGCCAACGAACUGUAGCUGGUCUGAGAGGCCGACCAGCCACACUGGGACUGAGACACGGCACAAACUCCUACGGGAGGCAGCAGUGGGGAAUUUUGGACAAUGGGCGCAAGCCUGAUGCAGCAAUGCCGCGUGCAGGAAGAAGGCCUUCGGGUUGUAAACUGCUUUUGUACGGAACGAAAAGGUCUGGGUUAAUACCCUGGGCCGAUGACGGUACCGUAAGAAUAAGCACCGGCUAACUACGUGCCAGCCGCCGCAGUAACAC
rnacentral:rRNA from 1 species